rnacentral:rRNA from 1 species
CACCGCCCGUCGCUACUACCGAGUGAAUGGUGUCAUGAUGCGCUGGGACUGGACGUUGGAUGGGUCCUCGGGCUCGUCCGACGCUGGGAUCAGCGUAAAAUGGCGCAAUUUCGAGGAAGUAAAAGUCGUAACAAGGUUUCCGUAGGUGAACCUGCGGAAG